rnacentral:lncRNA from 1 species
UUGGUUUCAUCACUACACUAAAAAUCACGUAUUUCUAUCUAUAAAGCACCGAAACUUUGUGUUCUCCAGACUACUUUUUGAGUCUAGGUUAGUUGCCUUCAGUGUAUUCGUAGUUUCUUCAGUUUGGUACUUCUUCCGUAAUUUCCCUUUACCCUUUUUGUAGUUGACUCGGGUUAUAUAUAUACAUGUUUAAUUACUAUUGUUUCGGGAAUCAUUACUGAUCAUUCAGGGUUUUUUAGGGAUGAUAAUGUAUCCUUUGCCCCCGCAUUUGAGGGAAUUGCGGACAAAGGAUGAUGUUGGAGAGGUCGUGCGUAGAUGCAUGAAGAAUAUUGUUGUUGUAAAAGGACCGAAUAAUGCUGUUAUUAUAAAGGACCUUCAAGGACGAUUUUGUUUCAAUACAAGCCUCUCCGAGCUCAACGAGGCUCGUGCUAUGUCGCGUACCAAGCAGGUAAAUAAUCACAAUUUCUUUCACUAUUUGGGAGAUUUCCACAAAAACUUUGGGAUCCUCAUUGAAACUUACCCCGGAUCAACAACUAAUCACUUAAGUUUAUGAUUCUUUUAGUUUAUCGAUGUGUUUGGACGUAAUGUUUUCCAUGUUAUACAUAGGUAACUACCUAUAUUGCAAUAUUUUUUACCAUAGAUUAAUCGAUGUAUAGCUAAAUUAUUAGUUAUUGUCUAUGCGUGUAUAUGUAUUAAAGGAAAAAUAGAUAAAAGGGUCAUACCCUUAUCGCUAGUAAAAAUAGGCAUACCACAAAGCAAAUUAUUUUUUGUAGAGAAAUGACCUAUAUAUUGUUAUACUAGUUUAUAAUCCGUGAGAACCAUGGUUACAAAAUAAAUUAUAUUUUCAUAGUAAAAAUUCUAAAAUUAUUUGUCAAUUAUUUUAGAUAAAUCAUUAAUUAAGAGAUAUACCAAAAUUUUAAAGUUAUUAUAACUUUAAACAUAACAUAUAAUAAUUAGAAAAAAAUAAAUUUGGAUUUUGAAAUGUUACAUAAUAUAUCUCUUUGACAUGUGGCAUAAUAUUAAUGAAGAGUUGUAUUAGAAUAACACAUGUCAAAUGGAGAUUAAAACUAUUCUUUUAUUAAAAUAGAGAUAUAACCAUUAUAAAAACCACAUACCAUCUGGUUUGUAGUUUAAUGGUAUCAAUUUUUGUGGAAAGGUAACCAAAAGUUCAGGGUUUCUGGUCCGGUUUGAUGCGAAAGAUGUAGUUUUGGAAUAAUAUACAAGUGUUGUGUUUGGAAUUCUAAAAAAGUGUAAAACACCCAACAUUAUUUACACAAAAAAAGGUAUUUAAACUAGAUGGCGAAGCAAGUCACUUUGGUGACAUCAUAAACUUUUUUUUUCAUUUUACAAAAAACUAAAUGCACAAAAUACCAACUUAUUUCUGCUUGUUUGUGUAUAAUAACUUUUUUUUUUCUAUUUUAUUUUUACAUAGUUUAUACAUUCAAGUUGGGUUUUCAAAAACCAACAAAAUUACACCAUUUUACUUUCUUUUUUCCACAUUAAGAUNNNNNNNNNNNNNNNNNNNNNNNNNNNNNNNNNNNNNNNNNNNNNNNNNNNNNNNNNNNNNNNNNNNNNNNNNNNNNNNNNNNNNNNNNNNNNNNNNNNNNNNNNNNNNNNNNNNNNNNNNNNNNNNNNNNNNNNNNAACAACCUUCAUCACACUCAUAUUAAAUUUAGGAAUGAUGGGUAACAUGGUUAGAACCAGUUUUUCAUAUUCAUAAUCAUAACAAUUAAUUAUAGGGAUAUUUUGUAUAUCCCACUGCUAAAUGUUGAAGUAUAAUAUUUUCUCAACCUAUUUUCUAAAUAUUAUAUUUAUUUUUCUUAAACCUUAGAAAAUAUCAUAUUUGUCCAAAUUUAACUUUUAGCAUGUUAAAUAUUUUAUAAUAAAUUUUUUAUAUUAAAAUCUAUAUAUCUAUUAGAAAAAAUAGAUUGACCAUAUUGGCCCUCAUCUAAAAUCAUUAUACUUAAAAUAAAAUUGUAUUAAACUACACCCAUUUUACAUACUAUUUUGUCAUUCAUGGUCAAUCCAGGUCAAUCUAAUACCUAUUAAUUUUAUCUAGCAGUUGACUUUAUACAACAUAAUUUUUAAAUAUCAUAUUUUCUCAUCUUAAACCUUUAUAAUAUCAAAUUUGUCUAAAUGUUUACUUUUAACAUUUUUAAAGAAUUUAUAAUCAAUUUAAAUCUUUCUUUUUAUUAAAUUACUAUUAUAUGCUUUCUAUUUUCAUAGGUUUAAAACUAUUAAAAUCAUUCUGACUAUAUUAGUUUAGUAAUUCCCCAAAGUCUCUACACAAAUGCAACAGUUCCCAAAAGAAAUUGUUUCUUAAAGUUUCUUGUUUUCUCAUCCCAAAUUCACUGAACAGUUGAACAAACUAGAAAGGUGAUGAUCGUGAAGGAUGACAAUGAGAACAGAUUACUAAGGUGUUGGAUUAAGUUUAUGAGGCCUCUAAGUAUAUACAAUAGAUAGCUUUGAGGUGGUUUAGUAAACAAAGAUUACUAGUUAGAGUUGGAUGAAUCUAAAAAGUAAAACAAUUCAAGAAUAAUGAAGGGCUUCUAAUGGACGUGUCAUAUGUAAUAAGGCCACAAGGGCUAUCCAUCAUGAUGUGGUGGUCGCUACCUCAUAACCACAUCCAACAACAUUGCACUUAGUACACAUACUACUAAACACCACUCCAUAUCAUUUUAUAUUUAAAAUACAAUAUAUAUAUAUAUAUAUAUAUAUAUAAACUAAUUUUUCAUUCAUUUAAAAAAACACACACCAACUAAAAAAAAGGAGAAUUAAAAAAAAAUUAAAAAAGUCAAAAAGCAACAUAAAAAUUCCUAACAUAAAAAAGUACUCCCCAUUCCUAUAUCUCGCUCCAACUCAUCAUCGCUAACGUGCUCUCUUAUAGUUGGAAAUAUCGAUCAAAUUUUUCUAUAAACUGAUCAAUAUCGCUAGAACUCAAAAGUUUUGAACCUGAGCCGGAAGCUGCUUUCUUUGCUCUAUUUCUUCUUAUCGGUUGAUGAAGAGGUUGUUUAUCUUCAAAAUCCACUGACUCAUCAUAACUGUCAAUGUGUGUUCGGGCGUCCGAUGUUGUGAACUUUCAUUGGCAUUUCUUGUACGCAUCAAACCAGAAGAAGUCUUUUCUGUAAACAUCGAAAUCGAUUGACAUGAUUUUGUGUAGGUUGUUUAGAUUGUUGUAGUUUCCUUCUAAUUUUGUAUAUUUAAGCCUCAAAUCGCACCAAUUCAAACUAAUAUUUUGGGAUUUUAGCUUUCAGUUCCCAUCAAACCAUAAAACAUGGUUUAAACAUUUCCGUAAAAACAAGGCCAAAAUUUUCAUUUGGGAAAUUGUAACAUCCCAAAAUUCAAUGGCAAAAAUUUCAUUUUUAAAUAAAUUAUUAAAAGACCAUAAGAAUAAAAACAUACAUAAUGACAUAUCAUGUCAAAACCAAAGUGUCAAUAAUCAAAACAUGUUAUCAUAAAACAAUAUCAAAACAUGUUAUCAUAAAACAAUAUCAGAGUGCAAUCCCAAAGAUCUCAUAAUAUGACAACUAGGGUUAAGUGUUUCUCACUUAACUCAAUAAGGACUUAAUCCAUUAAGUCCAUCACUCUACUAGAUAAAUGAUAUGGUGUAAUUGGGCUUAUUACAUAAUCCAAUUCCAAUGCCCCAAAAUACGGGUCCCGAUACGUCCAUGCCCAUAAUUCCAAAAUUAGGGUUUUCUAAACCCUAAUUACGGUUUCCAACACAUUCAUAGCUCAAUAGGCCCAACAGUUAUGUCCUUAGAUAAAUUAGGGUUUAUUAGGCCCAUUAGGGUUUUAGUCCCUUUGUGAAAACAUCCCAAACGAAUCAAACACAAUAAGCACACCACCACCCAACACGGCAGCUGGUGGCGGUAGGAGGCGGCAGCCACCACCCUAUAGUGGUGGUUUUGAGAUUUCUUUUCAUUAUUCCAACACUAUUAUAGUUUACAGCCCAAAUCCUGGUAACACACCCACCCACUAACAUAAACACACACACACACAUAGCCACCCUAGUGGUGGCCGACAGUGGUACAUGGCGGCAGCCACCACCUCACAGGUGGUGGCGGUGGGUCUUCUAGCUAAAAAUCGCAAAUAAAACAUCACAAAUGCUAAAAACAACGCAUAUACGCCCCUUGACACACACAUCGUAUUACAACAGAAAACACACACACACGAUUGCAAAACUCGAACACAGUCAUCCCUCCCCGGUGUCAUGCGGCGGUGAUGGCGUUUGGCAGCAGCUCCCAGUGAAACAGUCGUGUGGCGGCAACAGUAGUGAUUAGACCCAACAUCAGCCAUUUCGAGCGAUAUUCCCACGAGCACAACAUUGAUCUCGACGGUCAUUUCUCGGCUACACAAGACAUCCAACGAUAGGGGUUGUUGAAGACGUGCCGACAGCAAUCCAGCAGGUGGAAGGAUGGCGGUGAAUGCAGUGAGGAAUGGAGGUCGCACCUCCACCAACAACCACAAUGGUCGUUACACCCGCUUCAUCCAGCCUUCACGGUGGUUGUCGUUUCAUCCUUGACUUCGUCGGUGACAAAAGUGAUGGUAGUGCAAGCAACGGUAUCCGACGGCGAUAUGGUUGACAACGGUGGCUAGGGAUGAGGGUGAUAAAGUGGUAGCGGCUGUAGACGUUCCAAGGGUUGUGGCAUCUGGGGAAUUAAUGAUUUAGGGUUAGGUUUAAGCAAUGCAACAGGUGGAACGGGAUAUGUGGGGUUAAAGUCCCGCUCCAAGCAAAUAUUUGCACAAUUAACAACUUUGGUCCCUCCCCAUGAGAAUCUUUUCAAAUUUAAUCCAAUAUUUACCCUUUUAGCCCUUGAUUCAAUAAAUCUUUACAAUAUAAAUCCAGAAUUUACAUUUUAUCCCUUGCUUCCAUAAUUCCUUUCAUAUUUGGUCCAAAUGAUACCAAACACCCAUGUCCUUAAAAAAUCUUUACAAUUUAAUCCGAAAAUUACAUUUUAAACCCUAACUUCUAUAAUUGUGACUUUUAACUCCUCAAAACCAACACCUUACUCAAUUAUUGAUUUUAGGGCUACUAUAUAUUCAUUAAUUUGUUUAUUUAUUUAUUAAAUAAACGGAGUGUUACAAAUCUUCCCCACUUAAAUUAGAUUUGGUCCUCGAAAUCAUUUCUUACUGUUCCUUACACACCAAACCACUCUAGUAAUGUGGUCACCAUCUUGGUCACACCCUAACGUUCCCAGGGUAGCCGUGACCAAUCUUCGCGAAGCCUUAAAAUCCGAAGGUGAAAGAAUUCCUCGCAAAAAGAUCACAUCUACUUCGUCUGAAAUCUGUUGUCUCGAGAUGGUCUGAAUCCAUGACAGACCGUUCAUACUGAAUCAUUAUCAUUGAUUCUUGUUUGUUUAUCCCUCACCUGACUACUAAACCUCUCAUAACCUGAGGCUCCCACUAGAAAACUGAAAUCAUAGACCCAAUUAUCCCUGUAGGUCAUUUAGCAUAACCCAAUCAAUCUAUUAUUCCAUCUAAACUUGCAACCUAAAACACAAUUACUAAUACUGCCAAUCACUGAAACUGUCUGAACAUUAAACUGCCUGAAGCAGUAUGUUGCCACAUAGCUGUUUGGAAAAAUCUACCGAGACCCCCUGAUCUCAAUUCGUUCACCAAUCAUCUGAAAUAUCGGGUUCCGGCCCGGCUACGGAGCCAAAGGACUCCCUACUUAGUCGCCUCACACAACUUCUGAACGAAAUCCUUCUCUAGAACUAGUUGCCACUAGUUAUCAUGCCACUGCGACUCUAACAACUUUCUGAUCUACCUGAUCGGUUCCAUGUGUCGAAUCCUGUCAUCACCAAAUCCAAGACUAAAAGUGAUUGCUACCUGACCAAAAGUUAGCCUUAUAUCACAAACGACCAUAUAAAGUCCAUUGCUUCCCUGAUCUCGUAACUGUAGUGGCGUCCCUAUAGUCUUAUCGCUGGCUCCACCAAAUCUAAUCCAUCUGGGUGAUUCCGAAAUCCAAUCCAUGGAUUUCCAUAUCCUCACCGCUACACCCGACUGGUGGGUACAAUUGUUCCUUACGCGUCCUAACAACGCGCUCAUGCUAUCUACCAACCUAGUGAAUGUUGUGGCUACACCCACAAACUUACAUCCCUCUAGCACUAUAUGAUAACCUUGUGAAUGUUACGACUACACCCGCAGACUUACAAUACUUCUCACUCUAUCUGCCACCCUGGUGAAUGCUACGGCUACACCCACAGACUUACAACACUUCUAGCAAUAUCUGCUAACCUGGUGAAUGCUACGGCUACACCCGCAGACUUACAACACUUUCCAUGCUACCUGAUCGCUAGUGAAUGCUACGGCUACACCCGCAGACUUACAAAACUUUCCAUACUACCUGAUCGCUAGUGAAUGCUACAGCUAUAUCCGCAGUCUUACAGCACUCUCCAUACUAUCUGAUCACUAGUGAAUGCUAUGGCUACCCCCAUAGUCUAAAAACACUUUCCAUACCGCUCGAACACGCACUCGACCUAAAACACAGUUGAACUUGAGUCCUAAUUGGACCUCUAACCUGGUUCCCUAAACCUGAUGUCUGAGAGUCUCGAAGGCUGUCUGCUGCUCAGGUCCCCAACGAAAGGCCACCAACUUCUUGGUCAGUCGAGUGAAAGGAACCGGAAUCUCGGAGAAGUCAGGUAUAAAUCUCCGAUAAUAACCCGCUAGACCCAGGAAACUUUGAAUCUCAGUUGGAGACCUCAGAAUCUCCCACUACAUCAUGGCCUCUAUCUUGGUCGGAUCAAACAGAAUACCCUUCUGGUUGACAAGGUGCCCAAGAGAUUGCACCUUGCUUAACCAGAACUCGUAUUUGGAGAACUUUACAAAAAGUCUCUCCCCCAUUUAGAUUCGACUAAGUCUUCACGGCACACGAGAAUUGAAGGAUUCCUAAUCCUUCUCGCUUUCUAAUAUCCCAGUGAUGACAACAUGUGCUUACCAAUGCUGGCGAUUAAUCACCGGUUAAACCUUGAGAUCGCCCAUCCUCAGAAAUCUUGAUGAGUACUCUUGAAAUUUGGUCCAGUAUGACACCUCAAUCCACCUCCCAUGCUGAUACCUAGAGGCCUUAAUCUUCACUCUGGCUCACGAGUCCUCGUUCCCACUUCCAAUCUUGCAACACCACUGAACUCUAACCGAACAUAGCCCAUGCGAAAAUACAAUUCUCGUGAACAUCCAAUGACCAAUCACUUAUGUAUCUAACACCCGCAACUGAUACUACCCUCUUCAUGUUACCAGUCCAGUCCUAGCAACGGUAGUGCCUUGAACUCCAAAGUUCAUCCAUAGACAAUUGUCGACCACACCUAAACCAUGAUAGAACCACUGAACGCUGACUUCACUGAAGAACUAUCGCUCUAACCCUGACCGAGUAUCCUCUAAAUAAUACUCCUGCACAGAUCCCGACAAAUAUCUGGAAUGCUAACGGACCACGUGGAACCCACUCCGCAAGAUGUGUCCCUCUGUGGGUUCAUCAAGGAGUGUUCGGCAUGCAGGAUGGCACAUAUGAUACUUGAUAACCCAAACACUAGGAGAAAAUCGAACCGAGAUCUAUGUUAUCCAAACUCACUCACAACUCCAAAGCGAUACAUAUUCCCAACAUCCACCUAAUAGUAGUAGAAGAUGACAUACCCGCAACAUCUGGAGGAAUCCUAAUCAACUUCUGCUAGCAUAAUCGACCCUACUACACUUUGUAGCAGCCUAAACCCUUAGAAUGUCAAACUCCCUUGUGCACUUUCUCGUAGGUGCUGUGCUGACUCUGGCCCUGCUUGCCUUUCAUCCGAUGAUCAGAAGUCAUGGGUCUCUUCCCGGGACCCUCUACUAUACGCACCUACCACAAACCUUUUUUUCUCAAGUGUUCCAAAUUGAUCUCGCUUCUACAACCUCUUGGAAAUCAUAUCAUUCAGGGUCUGACACCUUGCCAUGCUCACUAGCUCACUUGCCAAUGGCUAAGCUGCAACAACUGGAACAUCCUCUGUCCCCAAACCGGGUCACAAACUUCUCCCCGAAGCUUCUCAAAUUCUCCAAUACACUCACCGAUUCAAGUAUGGAUCCUAUGCUUUCAGUAGUAUGGGCCCAAUACUACCUUCCACACCUAUCCAUACUUUCCUCAGCAAUCCUCCCGAAUCCUCCAAGUCACUUCCUCAAACUUAUACACCUUAGUCUCACUGAACCUCAAUACUAACCCACUGAAACAUAUCCUAGAAUUUCCUAGGUUCCCGUACCCACCCAGUCCUCAGCUGUUGAAAGAUUCCUAGUAAUGUCCACUCGCUACCUCAUGAAUAUAACCACAUGCAACAGAGAUCAAAUAAUACUUUGAGUAAAAGACUUAUCCCUAGAACGGUUAGACUCAAACAAGAGUUGCGCAAUAAGGUCAAGUCCAUCACUCUGAGAUUAUCCAGCCUGUAUCCCAUGUGACUUAGCAUAUUCACUUAGUAGCUAACUCACAUCACUAAGAGUCCCACAAAGCACAAAGCAAACAACAUUCAAACAAUGGAAAAUCUAACCAUCAUAAUCCAAUCAAACCGCUCUAUUCUCUAAUCAGGAAUCUGUAUGUGUAAUUCAAAGGCUCAUAUAAUCACGCAUAACCUGAAUAGGCCAUCCUAUCACUGACUGGUCAGUACUAGCAUGCAAGUCUACAAGCACAUACAAUAGGCAUAUAAGGCAUCCUCUUAGAUCCUUAGCGCUAAUCUAACAUGCGGUUCUCAUAAUCAUAUCAUAACAUAACAUAUCAUAACAUGUAUGCGUAUCUUGAGGGAAAACUUACUUGAGCUCGGCUGAUUGCACACAUCACACACAUUGUUCUUUUCAAAGUUCUUUUCUCUGUUCAAACUCCUUUUAUAAAAUGAUUUUACUUUUGAAAUUUUUUCAUACCAAAUCCUUAGUUUGAGUCCAAACACAACGGAAGGUAUGUCCGAAUCCCUCAAACCAAGGCUUUGAUACCAACUUGUAUAUCCCAAAAUUCAAGGCCAAAAAUUUCAUUUUUAAAUAAGUUAUUAUAAAACCAUAAGUAUAAAAACAUCCAUAAUGACAUCUCAUGUCAAAACCAAAGUGAUAAUAAUCAAAACAUGUUAUCAUAAAACAAUAUCAGAGUACAAUCCAAAUAUCUCAUGUGCGGAAACAUAGAGUGAUGUGUUGCAAUCGAGUCGACUCCUUUCUUUUGAAAACGAAGUACCUAAAACCAAAACUAAAAACCUUAAGCACGAAGCUUAGUGAAUUCCCUAAAUACCACAUACCAUACAUAUCAACAUACUGCCUAGCAUAUCUAGGUGUUUUCCUACCCCUUCGGUCUCUUUCAACCGAAUACUAUCUAGAAUAUAAACACAUACUCGCAUACUCUGAUACAUAACCAUGAGCCAUACAUAUAUCAUAAUCAGUAAAGAUGAUAUGUACCAAACAUAGUCUUGCCAUUAUCCCAUGGGCCGCCACGUGGUCUUUCUUGCCAAGCCGGGGGCCACCCCCUUCGGUCUCGCAGACAACUUCUAAGAGCCACCUCCUGGUCUUCCAUGCAAGCAUCACAAAGACAACUAGCAUAUAUAGUGCUCUACUUAGCUAAUCAGCAUAUAAUGUGUCAUGAGCCACCUCCUGGACUCCUGGUCUUUCAUACAUAAUAGAAUACAGUGUGCUAGGAGCCACCUCCUGGUCUUUCAUACAUAUUGCCUAGGGCUAACCCCCGGGUCUUCCUACCAUACAUAAUAACAUAUUGUGUGCUAGGAGCCGCCUCCUGGUCUUUCAUGCAUAAUGCCUAGGGCUAACCCCCAGGUCUUUGUAUCAUACAUAAACUAAAUGUGUCGGCAUUGGUGCCUUAGACCCAUACCAACAGUGAGGAGACUCAUCUCGCACUACUGAAGUCCCGCGAAUAAAUCCAUGGCAGCUAGCUGGCAGAUCCCCAAACUGUCAAUCAUCAAAACAACACCCAAUUAAUAAUUAGGUUCCAAUACAUAUCCAUAAGUCCAUGCUUAGUGUAAAUGGCAACUUUACCCCCAACUUAGCUUGACUCAAGCCCAAGGCCUAAUCCAAAGGCCCAAAGGUCAACUAUGAGUCAAAGCCCAACAUAUGGCCCAAUUUUCCAAAUUGGGCCCAAACCUGUAUAUGGUUUUCCCUUAAGGUCCAAACAUUUUGUCUAGUCCUACAAUUGGCAUUUCUAAUGGCCCAAUAUCUCAUAAUCAUAAAGGCCCAUACUAUGGCCCAAAUUUCCAAAUAGGGCCCAAACCUCACAUAUGGGACUUACCUUAAAGCCCAUCUAACAAUUCUAGUCCAUAUGAUCAUUCUUGGAUAGCACUUUAUUGGCCCAAUUACCAAAACCUAAUAGAAAAGCCUAGCUCAAGGCCCCAAGUGAAAAUAGGGUUUCACAUAAAAUAACAAUUAGGGUUAAGUGUUUCUCACUUAACCCAUUAAGGACUUAAUCCAUUAAGUCCAUAACUCAACUAGAUAAAUGAUAUGGUGUAGUUGGGCUUAAUAUAUAAUCCAAUCCCAAUGGCCCAAAACGUGGGUCCCGAUAAGUCCAAGCCCAUAAUUCCAAAAUUAGGGUUUUCUAAACCCUAUUUAGGGUUUCCAACCCAUUCAUAACCCAAUAGGCCCAAUAGCUAGGUCCUUAGAUCAAAUAGAGUUUAUUAGGCCCAUUAGGGUUUUAGUCCCUUUGUCCAAAGAUCCCAAACAAAUCAAACACAACAAGCACGUCGGCAUCGAACACGGCGGUUGGUGGCGACAGCCACCACCCUACGGUGGUGGUUUUGAGAUUCCUUUUCAUUAUUCCAACACUAUUACAAUUUACAACCGAAAUCCCAGUAAGACACCCACUCACUAACAUAAACACACACACACAUAACCACCUUAGUGGUGGCCGACGGUGGUAAAUGGCGGUAGCCACCACCUCACGGUGGUGCCAGUGGGUCUUCCGGCCAAACAUCACAAAUGCUAAAAACAACGCAUAUAUGCCCCUUGACACACACACACACAUCGUAUUUCAACAGAAAAACAAACACCCGGUUGCAAAACUCGAACACGGUCGUCCCUCUCCGACGACAUGCGGCGACAACGGCGUUUUGCAGCAGCUCCCAGUGAAACAGCCGUGUGGCAGGGACAGUAGUGAUGAGACCCAACAGCGGCCAUUUCGAGCGAUAUUCCCAUGAGCACAACAUCGAUCUCGACGGUCUUUUCUUGGCUACACAAGACGUCCCACGAUAGGGGAUGUUGAAGAGGUGCCGACAUCAAUCCAGCAGGUGGAAGGAUGGCGGUGAAUGCAGUGAGGAAUGGAGGUCGCACCUCCACCGGAAAACAACCACAAUGGUCGUUACACCCGCUUCAUCCGGCCUUCACAGUGGUUGUCGUUUCAUCCUUGACUUCGUCGGUGACAAAAGUGAUGGUAGUGCAAGCAACGGUAUCCGACGACGAUAUGGUUGACAACGGCGGCUAGGGAUGAGGGUGAUAAAGUGGUAGCGGCAGUAGACGUUCCAAGGGUUGUGGCAGCUGGGGAAUUAACGAUCUAGGUUUAGGUUUAAGCAAUGCAACAGGAGGAACGGGAUAUGUGGGGUUAAAGUCCCACUCCAAGCAAAUCUUUGCACAAUUAACAACUUUGGUCCCUCCCCAUGAGAAUCUUUUCAAAUUUAAUCCAAUAUUUACCCCUUUAGCCCCUGAUUCAAUAAAUCUUUACAAUAUAAAUCUAGAAUUUACAUUUUAUCCCUUGCUUCCAUAAUUCCUUUUAUAUUAGGUCCAAAUGAUACCAAACACCCCUGUCCUUAAAAACUCUUUACAAUUUAAUCCGAAAAUUACAUUUUAACCACUAACUUCUAUAAUUGUGACUUUUAACUCUUCGAAACCAACACCUUGCUCAAUUAUUGAUUUUAGGGCUACUAUAUAUUCAUUAAUUUGUUUAUUUAUUUAUUAAAUAAACGGGGUGUUACAGAAAUGUUGAUAUGAUUGCUGAUAAAGUUGAGUUUGUUGGAUAAAGAAUCCAACAUGGAGCAAAUUCAUAAAACCACAUUGAAUUGGUUACAUGUUCGAGUAUUGGCAUGCAGUUGUAUCUAACACAAAGGCAUUGUCGAGCUUGCAGUUCGAUAGUUUGAUGAGGUAUUUUGAUUGAGAUCUAGGGUUUUUGGAUUUUAAAACAAUACAAAUGUGUGUAUGUAAAUAGAGGAAGAGAAGAAUAAUGUUAAAAUUUUCGUUGUCUGUAGUGAAACUUAUAUGUGAAAAAUUACUUUUUUUUUUAUGAAAAAUCAAAAACUAAUCGUUAAACGGCUAGUCAACCAAGUCAACACCUAAACCUCUCCAAUCGGUGGUUAUCCAUCAUCGUAGCCACCACAAACUCCCACGACCAUGACCACGAUCACGACCGAUCACAAACCACCGGAGUGAUCUUCACAGACAGUGGUCGUUACCACGUAAACCAUGAAGCCAUCCCUGGAGAGUACUCUAGAGGGCCUAAUAACAUGAUAAUGCUCUGUAACGGCAACCACUAGAUACCAUUAAUAGGUAUUUAUUGCAUUAGUGGAUUGACCAAGCAUGAAUGACAAACUAAUGUGUAAAAUGUGUGUAGUAUACUGAUGGCACUGCAUUAAAUGAUGGAUGCAAGAGAACAUUUCCGGUAUUACAACAUAUUUGUUAUAAUUAUAAUGAUUUUAAGGGGGAGGCAAUAUGUUCAAUUUAUUUUUUUAUAAUUAUAAUAAUUUUAAAAUAUAAAAACUGAUUAUAAAAUAUUAAAAAAUAUUUAAAAAAUGUUAAAAAAAUAUUGGGCAAAUAUUUUGUUUUGAGAGUUUAAAAAAAUUAAAUAUGAUAUUUAUAAAUACAUUGGAUAAUUAUAAUAUUUAUAAAUAUGUUGGACAAAUAUGAUAUUUCCAUGUUUAACAAAGUAUAUAUAUGAAAUUAUCUCUAUUUAUUAAAGAUAUAUACAAAAUUCUCCAUUAAUUAAAAAAAACAAAAAAACAAAUGACGAUCUCUAUCUCUGGUACGGGAUUGCAUCAAAAAUUGAAACCGUAGCAGAUUAUUCUUUAUGUUGAAAGCGUUUCAAGAAAUUUGAUAAAAAUUGCAAAACGAUUUUGAUUAAUCUCACAAACUGAACAGGAGAUUGAAGUGUUGAAUAGAUUGAGACAAUUGAUUCUUGAAUCAGAUUUGAAAGUAGCAAUUACGAAAUUUCAGGUAAACCACCUCAAAAUAAUGAAAUAUGACAUGUGUUGUUGUACUUGUUAAAUUUUAAUUAAUUAUAAUUAUUGUACAUUAUGUUCCAUUGAAGCAGUCAAACGACC